rnacentral:rRNA from 1 species
UCUAGAGAUUUGGCGGACGGGUGAGUAACACGUGGAACGUGCCUUUUGGUUCGGAAUAACUCAGGGAAACUUGUGCUAAUACCGAAUGUGCCCUUCGGGGGAAAGAUUUACCGCCAUUAGAGCGGCCCGCGUCUGAUUAGCUAGUUGGUGAGGUAAAAGCUCACCAAGGCGACGAUCAGUAGCUGGUCUGAGAGGAUGACCAGCCACACUGGGACUGAGACACGGCCCAGACUCCUACGGGAGGCAGCAGUGGGGAAUCUUGCGCAAUGGGCGAAAGCCUGACGCAGCCAUGCCGCGUGAAUGAUGAAGGUCUUAGGAUUGUAAAAUUCUUUCACCGGGGACGAUAAUGACGGUACCCGGAGAAGAAGCCCCGGCUAACUUCGUGCCAGCAGCCGCGGUAAUAAUCGUCGAC